AACGAACGCUGGCGGCGUGCCUAACACAUGCAAGUCGAACGAGAAAGGGGCUUCGGCUCCGAGUAAAGUGGCGCACGGGUGAGUAACACGUGGGUAACCUGCCUCUAAGAUUGGGAUAACUCGUCGAAAGAUGAGCUAAUACCGAAUAAGACCACAGUUCCCGCGGGAACAGGGGUCAAAGGUAGCCUCUGCUUGCAAGCUAUCACUUAGAGAUGGGCCUGCGCACCAUUAGCUAGUUGGUAGGGUAACGGCCUACCAAGGCAAAGAUGGUUAGCUGGUCGGAGAGGAUGAUCAGCCACACUGGAACGGAGACACGGUCCAGACGCCUACGGGAGGCAGCAGGGGGGAAUAUUGCGCAAUGGGCGAAAGCUUGACGCAGCAACGCCGCGUGAGUGAUGAAGGCCUUCGGGUCGUAAAGCUCUGUCGGGAGGAACGAAUGCUCCUGAGGUUAACAGCCUCGGGAGGUGACGGUACCUUCAAAGGAAGCACCGGCUAACUCUGUG
rnacentral:rRNA from 1 species